rnacentral:rRNA from 1 species
AGAAACUAACAAGGAUUCCCCUAGUAACUGCGAGUGAAGAGGGAAAAGCUCAAAUUUAAAAGCCUUCGGGCGUUGUAAUCUAGAGAAGUGUUUUCGGUCGUAGCCUCGGACAAGUCCCUUGGAACAGGGCGUCAUAGAGGGUGAGAAUCCCGUCCUUGCCGAGCCCCCUACGUCUAUGUGAUGCACUUUCGAAGAGUCGAGUUGUUUGGGAAUGCAGCUCAAAAUGGGUGGUAAACUCCAUCUAAAGCUAAAUAUUGGCGAGAGACCGAUAGCGAACAAGUACCGUGAGGGAAAGAUGAAAAGCACUUUGGACAGAGAGUUAAACAGUACGUGAAAUUGUUGAAAGGGAAGCGCUUGAAGUCAGUCGCGUUGUAGAGGCUCAGCCGCAAGGUGUAUUCCUCUGUAACGGGUCAACAUCAGUUUUGGGCGCGGGAAAAGGGUUUGGGGAAUGUGGCAGCCUCGGCUGUGUUAUAGCCUCUUGCCGUACACCGCGCCUGGGACUGAGGACCGCUAAUAGGAUGUUGACGAAAUGGCUUUAAGCGACCC